rnacentral:rRNA from 1 species
CCUACGGGAGGCAGCAGUAGGGAAUAUUGCUCAAUGGGGGAAACCCUGAAGCAGCAACGCCGCGUGGAGGAUGAAGGUUUUCGGAUUGUAAACUCCUUUUGUUAGAGAAGAUAAUGACGGUCUCUAACGAAUAAGCACCGGCUAACUCCGUGCCAGCAGCCGCGGUACGACGGAGGGUGCAAGCGUUACUCGGAAUCACUGGGCGUAAAGAGCGCGUAGGCGGGAUAGCAAGUCAGAUGUGAAAGCCUAUGGCUUAACCAUAGAACUGCAUUUGAAACUGUGAUUCUAGAGUAUGGGAGAGGUAGGUGGAAGUCGUGGGGUAGGGGUAAAAUGCGUAGAGAUCAAGAGGAAUACUCAUUGCGAAGGCGACCUGCUAGACCAUAACUGACGCUGAUGCGCGAAAGCGUGGGGAGCAAACAGGAUUAGAUACCCCUGUAGUC